rnacentral:rRNA from 1 species
AGCGAACGCUGGCGGCAGGCCUAACACAUGCAAGUCGAACGAACCUUUCGGGGUUAGUGGCGGAUGGGUGAGUAACACGUGGGAACGUGCCUUUAGGUUCGGAAUAACUCAGGGAAAUUUGUGCUAAUACCGAAUGUGUCCCUCGGGGGAAAGAUUCAGCGCCCUUAGAGCGGCAGGCGUCCGUUUAGCUAUUUGGUUGAGGUAAUGGCUCACCAAGGCGACGAUCAGUAGCUGGUCUGAGAGGAAGAUCAGCCACAUUGGGACUUAGACACGGCCCAAACUCCUACGGGAGGCAGCAGUGGGGAAUCUUGCGCAAUGGGCGAAAGCCUGACGCAGCCAUGCCGCGUGAAUGAUGAAGGUCUUAGGAUUGUAAAAUUCUUUCACCGGGGACGAUAAUGACGGUACCCGGAGAAGAAGCCCCGGCUAACUUCGUG